AAGUGUGUUAAAGCCACAGCGUUCAGUCUUAUCUGCAGCUUUCUGCCACUGACGGCUCAUUUCAUCUUGUGUGUCUCAGCCAUGUGGACACAGCAGACAAACUUCUUCUUGUUGGCCACAGUCUCUUAUGUGUCAGCUGCUGCAGAUGGUCAGAUCAGAUUAGCUGGGUCUGGGUCGACUCGCUGCUCUGGAAGAGUUGAAAUCUAUCACAACGACUCCUGGGGAACAAUCUGUGA